GGAGGCGUAGCUCAGCUGGUUAGAGUGCCUGCUUCACACGCAGGAGGUCGUGGGUUCGAGCCCCACCGUGUCCA
rnacentral:tRNA from 1 species